rnacentral:lncRNA from 1 species
UAAGGCUUAUCUGUUUAGUUUAGCUGUUUAGUGGUUCUUCGCGCUGUGAAUAAAAUAGAUAAAUCUCUUUGAUGAGUGUGUCCAUAAUUCUUGAAGGCAGAAGUUACCAGUGUUAUUCAAGAACAUCUUGAGCAGUAGGCAGUUGUUGUGUUGCUUGGCCUGGACCAGUUAUUAUAAAUUGUCAUUCUACAUUCUCUUGUCAAGUUCCUGGUUGGUGGCAUAUUGAGCCAGUAAAAUUGUUGAUCUGCAGGUCCACAAUCAAAGACAAGAUAAUUCCUCAUGCAGUUUCGUGGUUCACGGGGGAGGCUGUUCAAGAUGAUGAUGAACUGGAAAUAGAGGAGGAGGAUGAUGAAGAAGAGGAUGAUGAUGAAGAAGAGGAAGAGGACGAGGAUGAUGACGAUGAUGAGGACGAGGAUGAGGAUGAAGAAGAACAAACGAAGACAAAGAAAAAGGUGACUGUCCAAUAUGUUUUAGAAUUUGUUUACUGUUUGAAAGCUUGUACCGUGGGAGUACCCGAUGCUGAUUUCUGUUUUUUGUUUUUUCUGUUUUGCUGCAAACAGUCGG